GGGAAUGUUAUUCUCUUUUUGAAUAUAUAUAAAAGGAGGCAGAGUAACGAGGAGGGGGAGAUCUGUGCUAAGAGUUCCAUAUCUAAAGCCUGGUACAUUCUCCUUGUUGACUUUGUGUAAACUUUCCCAUAGAAAACAAUGAUUUUGAAAAGUUUUGACUUCUCUUAAAAGCCUUCUAGUGACUGGGUGAAAGUCAUGGCCUUUUUGUUUUCUUGUUUUAUUUCUGAAAUCUCAAUGUCUCUUGGAUCUGGUGGUCAUUUUCUUGUUUGUGUGUUUGUUUGUUUUGGCACUGAGGAUGUAGCCACAGUACUUUACCACUGAGCUACAUCCCCAACUCUUUUCAAAUUAAUUAAUUAUUUUCUUCCUUUCUUCCUUCCUUUCUUUUCACCAGGAAUUGAACCCAGAGGUGCUUAACCAUCAAGCCAUGUCCCCAGCCCAUUUUAUUUUGAAACAGGAUCUUGCUAAGUUGCUUAGGGCCUCACUAAAUUACUGAAGUUGGCUUUGAACUUGUGAUCCUCCUUCUCAGACUCCUGAGCCAUGGGAUUAUAGACGUACGCCACCCCACCUGGCAAAUUAAAAAAAAAAUUUUGUAGUUAUAGAUGGACAUCAUGCCUCUACUUCAUUUGUUCAUUUUUAUGUGGUGCUAAGAAUCAAACCCAGUGCCUCACAUAUGCCAGGCAAGUGCUCUACCACUGAGCCAUAUUCCCAGCCCUGCAGUUUGUUUGUUUGUUUUAAUUUUGAGGCAGGGUAGUUAAAGUACUGAGGCUGGCCUUGAAUUUAUAAUCCUCCUGUCUCAGCCUCUAGAAUUGCUGGGAUUAUAGGCUUGUACCACUGUGUCUAGCUCUCUGUUGGUCUUGAG
rnacentral:lncRNA from 1 species